CGCGUAUGCAAUCUACCUUUUACAGAGGGAUAGCCCAGAGAAAUUUGGAUUAAUACCUCAUAGUAUUAUGAAAUGGCAUCAUUUUAUAAUUAAAGUCACAACGGUAAAAGAUGAGCAUGCGUCCCAUUAGCUAGUUGGUAAGGUAACGGCUUACCAAGGCUACGAUGGGUAGGGGUCCUGAGAGGGAGAUCCCCCACACUGGUACUGAGACACGGACCAGACUCCUACGGGAGGCAGCAGUGAGGAAUAUUGGACAAUGGGCGCAAGCCUGAUCCAGCCAUGCCGCGUGCAGGAUGACGGUCCUAUGGAUUGUAAACUGCUUUUAUACGAGAAGAAACACUACUUCGUGAAGUAGCUUGACGGUAUCGUAAGAAUAAGGAUCGGCUAACUCCGUGCCAGCAGCCGCGGUAAUACGGAGGAUCCAAGCGUUAUCCGGAAUCAUUGGGUUUAAAGGGUCCGUAGGCGGUUUAAUAAGUCAGUGGUGAAAGCCCAUCGCUCAACGGUGGAACGGCCAUUGAUACUGUUAAACUUGAAUUAUUAGGAAGUAACUAGAAUAUGUAGUGUAGCGGUGAAAUGCUUAGAGAUUACAUGGAAUACCAAUUGCGAAGGCAGGUUACUACUAAUGGAUUGACGCUGAUGGACGAAAGCGUGGGUAGCGAACAGGAUUAGAUACCCUGGUAGUCCACGCCGUAAACGAUGGAUACUAGCUGUUGGAAGCAAUUUCAGUGGCUAAGCGAAAGUGAUAAGUAUCCCACCUGGGGAGUACGUUCGCAAGAAUGAAACUCAAAGGAAUUGA
rnacentral:rRNA from 1 species